rnacentral:rRNA from 1 species
AGAGUUUGAUCCUGGCUCAGGAUGAACGCUGGCGGCGUGCCUAAUACAUGCAAGUCGAGCGAACGGACGAGAAGCUUGCUUCUCUGAUGUUAGCGGCGGACGGGUGAGUAACACGUGGAUAACCUACCUAUAAGACUGGGAUAACUUCGGGAAACCGGAGCUAAUACCGGAUAAUAUUUUGAGCCGCAUGGUUCAAAAGUGAAAGACGGUCUUGCUGUCACUUAUAGAUGGAUCCGCGCUGCAUUAGCUAGUUGGUAAGGUAACGGCUUACCAAGGCAACGAUGCAUAGCCGACCUGAGAGGGUGAUCGGCCACACUGGAACUGAGACACGGUCCAGACUCCUACGGGAGGCAGCAGUAGGGAAUCUUCCGCAAUGGGCGAAAGCCUGACGGAGCAACGCCGCGUGAGUGAUGAAGGUCUUCGGAUCGUAAAACUCUGUUAUUAGGGAAGAACAUAUGUGUAAGUAACUGUGCACAUCUUGACGGUACCUAAUCAGAAAGCCACGGCUAACUACGUGCCAGCAGCCGCGGUAAUACGUAGGUGGCAAGCGUUAUCCGGAAUUAUUGGGCGUAAAGCGCGCGUAGGCGGUUUUUUAAGUCUGAUGUGAAAGCCCACGGCUCAACCGUGGAGGGUCAUUGGAAACUGGAAAACUUGAGUGCAGAAGAGGAAAGUGGAAUUCCAUGUGUAGCGGUGAAAUGCGCAGAGAUAUGGAGGAACACCAGUGGCGAAGGCGACUUUCUGGUCUGUAACUGACGCUGAUGUGCGAAAGCGUGGGGAUCAAACAGGAUUAGAUACCCUGGUAGUCCACGCCGUAAACGAUGAGUGCUAAGUGUUAGGGGGUUUCCGCCCCUUAGUGCUGCAGCUAACGCAUUAAGCACUCCGCCUGGGGAGUACGACCGCAAGGUUGAAACUCAAAGGAAUUGACGGGGACCCGCACAAGCGGUGGAGCAUGUGGUUUAAUUCGAAGCAACGCGAAGAACCUUACCAAAUCUUGACAUCCUUUGACAACUCUAGAGAUAGAGCCUUCCCCUUCGGGGGACAAAGUGACAGGUGGUGCAUGGUUGUCGUCAGCUCGUGUCGUGAGAUGUUGGGUUAAGUCCCGCAACGAGCGCAACCCUUAAGCUUAGUUGCCAUCAUUAAGUUGGGCACUCUAAGUUGACUGCCGGUGACAAACCGGAGGAAGGUGGGGAUGACGUCAAAUCAUCAUGCCCCUUAUGAUUUGGGCUACACACGUGCUACAAUGGACAAUACAAAGGGCAGCGAAACCGCGAGGUCAAGCAAAUCCCAUAAAGUUGUUCUCAGUUCGGAUUGUAGUCUGCAACUCGACUACAUGAAGCUGGAAUCGCUAGUAAUCGUAGAUCAGCAUGCUACGGUGAAUACGUUCCCGGGUCUUGUACACACCGCCCGUCACACCACGAGAGUUUGUAACACCCGAAGCCGGUGGAGUAACCUUUUAGGAGCUAGCCGUCGAAGGUGGGACAAAUGAUUGGGGUGAAGUCGUAACAAGGUAGCCGUAUCGGAAGGUGCGGCUGGAUCACCU